AUUGAACGCUGGCGGCAGGCUUAACACAUGCAAGUCGAACGAGUGGCGGACGGGUGAGUAAUGCUUGGGAAUCUAGCUUAUGGAGGGGGAUAACUACGGGAAACUGGAGCUAAUACCGCGUACCAUAGGAUGAGCCCAAGUGGGAUUAGGUAGUUGGUGAGGUAAAGGCUCACCAAGCCGACGAUCUCUAGCUGGUAGGAGAGGAUGAUCUACCACGCUGGGACUGAUACACGGCCCGGACUCCUACGGAAGGCAGCAGUGGGAAAUAUUGCACAAUGGUCGCAAGCCUGAUGCAGCCAUGCCGCGUAUGUGGAGACGGCCUUCGGGUUGUAAAGUACUUUCAUUCGGAAGGCGUUACCGACAGAAGAAGCACCGGCUAACUCCGUGCCAGCAGCCGCGGUAAUAC
rnacentral:rRNA from 1 species